UACGUAGGGGGCUAGCGUUGUCCGGAUUUAUUGGGCGUAAAGAGCGUGUAGGCGGCCAGGUAGGUCUGGUGUGAAAACUCGAGGCUUAACCUCGAGAUGUCAUCGGAAACCAUCUGGCUAGAGUCCGGAAGAGGAGAGUGGAAUUCCUGGUGUAGCGGUGAAAUGCGCAGAUAUCAGGAGGAACACCAAUGGCGAAGGCAGCCUCCUGGGCCAGCACUGACGCUCAUGCACGAAAGCGUGGGGAGCAAACAGG
rnacentral:rRNA from 1 species